rnacentral:rRNA from 1 species
GACGAACGCUGGCGGCGUGCUUAACACAUGCAAGUCGAACGGAAAGGCCCUUCGGGGUACUCGAGUGGCGAACGGGUGAGUAACACGUGGGUGAUCUGCCCUGCACUUUGGGAUAAGCCUGGGAAACUGGGUCUAAUACCGAAUAUGACUAUGCACCUCCUGGUGUGUGGUGGAAAGCUUUUGCGGUGUGGGAUGGGCCCGCGGCCUAUCAGCUUGUUGGUGGGGUAAUGGCCUACCAAGGCGACGACGGGUAGCCGGCCUGAGAGGGUGACCGGCCACACUGGGGCUGAGAUACGGCCCAGACUCCUACGGGAGGCAGCAGUGGGGAAUAUUGCACAAUGGGCGCAAGCCUGAUGCAGCGACGCCGCGUGAGGGAUGACGGCCUUCGGGUUGUAAACCUCUUUCAGCACAGACGAAGCGCAAGUGACGGUAUGUGCAGAAGAAGGACCGGCCAACUCCGUGC